UGCGGAGCUGAGGUACCUCUCCCUGAAGCUGUCUCCUGCAGACAUCAAGGGCAGCCAAGCAGCUGCGGAGCCUUCGCUCUCAGAGCGGGGCUGCGUCGAGGAUCGGCGGUGAGCCGGCCGCAGAGGCUACCUUCCCGGCUCGGCUUCCCCGAACCUCGCGGACACGCUCGUGGCAUAAAGAGGAGAAGGACUAAGCUUUGGCCGUUUCCCCAGCGGUGGCGGAGGCGGCGUCGUCGAGGGAAGAGCGGAGCCGAUCGCUCGCUGGAUCGGGGCAUCAACAGGUAAGCCCAUUUCUAGGAACUCGGCUGGGAAGGGAACCGCCCCGCCGCCGCCGCCGCCGCCGGCAGCUCUGUGGGACCCCCGACUCCCUGCGGCCGG
rnacentral:lncRNA from 1 species